GAAUUAAUUAAUUUAUUAAUAUUAUUUUUUUUAUUAUUUUUAAUUAAAGUAGCUUUUUUUUAUUAUUUUUUUAGAAAAAAUUUUUUUUAUGAUAGUUUAUUAGUACUGUGAAGGAAUAUUUAUUAAAUAUACAAAAGAAAAUUUGUUAUUGUACCUUGUGCAUCAGGGUUUAUUAAAUAAUUUAUAUUUAUAUUAUUUUUCUCGAACUUAUAAGAGCUAAUCAUUUAUAUAUAUUACUGUAAAAUAAGUACUUAAAAUAUUUGAUUAGAUGUGAAAUGCUAUUCGCUUUUAAUAUAUCUAGUUUCUUAAGAAAAAAGUUUAAUUUUUAAGUUAUUAUUAAAUUUUCUAUAUUUUUAGUUGAUUUUUAAUAUUUUAUUAUUUUUAAUGGGAUAAGCUUUUAAAAAUAUUUUCACAAUUUUAAUUAGUAUUGAUAAAUUUUAGGAUUAUAAUUUUCUAUUGAUAAAAAAAUGUUAUAAUUGAUUAUCAUGUAAAUUUUAUUUUUAUUUAAUUUGAAUGUUUUAUUAAGAUUUUAUAGUUAAUUUUUACUUUAAUUAAUAAUGAUAAAAUUAGUAUAGUUUUAUGUAAAUUAUAAUUUUACUUUAAGGUAAAUUUAAGGAACUCGGCAAAUUAAUUUUCCACCUGUUUAAUAAAACCAUGUCCUUUUGAUUAUAAUUUAAGGUCUAGCCUGCCCACUGAAGUAUUAAAUGGCCGCGGUACUUUGACCGUGCAAAGGUAGCAUAAUCAUUAGUUUUUUAAUUGAAAGCUGGAAUGAAUGGCUGGAUGAGAAAAUAGCUGUCUUAAUUUUAAUUUUUUUGAAUUUUAUUUUUAAGUUAAAAAGCUUAAAUAAUUUUAAAAGACGAGAAGCCCCUAUAGAAUUUUAUAUUUGAUAAAAUAAUAUUUUUAGGUUAAUGGAUAAUUAUUAUUUUUAAAAAU
rnacentral:rRNA from 1 species